GGGCUUGCCGCGUCGCUUCAGUGAGGAGACAUCAACUCUACAGAAGAAAGGAGGUAACACCGAACGUGAAUGAUGCAAAAUGGAAAACCAAACUGGUAGAUCACAGGCAGAGUAUGACCAGCAGAGGGUGAUUGAAGCAGGGCAGCACAUAUUGGCAUUACUCAACAGAGCAAUUCCUCAAGCUCCUAGAGAGGGUCAGAACCUGAGAGUGGAGAGACCACCAAAUGUUGGGUCAGAGAUGGUCAGAUCAUUCCCUGGCUUUUUUAAAAGAGGUAGCAAAAGCAGAAAUGAUCUGAUGAGGCCCAACAGUACAUCAGAAUUUGCAAAAAUGUGGAAGCCACUGGAAGUAACUUUUCUUUUUGUUGGCUUCAAAAAAUGACACCAUCCCUAUCUCUUCUGUUGAGCUGGAACAUUUGCAAGCAGGACUUUGUCCAUCACCUCUGAUCUGACGCAUACAGAGGUGAUCAGAAUUUAAGCAGCUGUGUUUUUGCUUUCAAUUGGUUCUUUUAGGGGGAUCAAGUCCUGUAUAUGCUGUUGUCUUAACAUUUUCCAUAUCUAUACAUAAAAUUGUUACUGUUGACAUGAGUUAUUUAACACCAAGUUUUUAUAUAUAGUUAUCCUGUUUAUUGAGAUCUACCUACCCUCAGAUGCUGGAUCUAGAGGACAGAUGGUUGAUAUACAAAGCCGCAGGUAGGAAUGGAAGGUGAAAAAUGUAUCCUGUCCCGUUGGAGGCAGAGGAAUACACGGGAUCUCUCAUCAGAAGAGCAUCAAGUGGGGGGAAGUACUUGCUAUACUUAAUGCCCCUCCAAGAUGAGUUGGAUUUAACACCCUUGCCUGCAGAUUCACCUGAAUUUGCUCUUAUGCCAAAAGCUGCUUGUAAGAAAUGCAAUGCCUCUGCAAAUGCUGGCCUUGCACAUUGAAAAAUGCAGUGACUUAUCAAGCUCAGACAGUGAGGUAAAUAAUGUGGUUGGGGUAUCAAGGUUGCAAUUGACCCAAUUUUAGAUGUAAAUGAAUGCUGUUUCUGUAUUCAGGAGGCAGAUGUGAUGUACAUAGAGAACACUGCCUCAAGCCUAGCCUUUACCAACAGAGCUGUAUGCUCAGAAUCACCAGAUCAACAUCAUUCUCAGCAGGUAUAUUAUAUGUUAUCAAUAAAGAAAGAAGUUGUGUUUUAAAACAGCAGCUUUAACACUGUGGUUACAUUGAUUUUCAUAUCAUUCUUACAAAACAACCUCCCCUUCUUCACUCUUUUCAACUCAGGAAAUGAACGUGCCUAAUAAUUAUGCACAUCUUGAUAGUAUGUUAGAUUUUAUAUAGGCCAGACCCUCAUUCAAGUUUAUGUUGCUUGGAAAUCUGAAUUUUAUUUUCUAAAUAAUCACGUACCAAAUAUUUGUGAACUGUUAUUAGUUCAACCUGUAUAAGCCAUCUAGACUGUAGAUGGAUGUAAAUUGUAAUAUCUUAAACUCCCUUUCAAAUGUGUCAUAUCCAGCUAAUGUGAUUUUCUGUCAUUCCUCUUACUUCAUUUUAUAUUAUGUAAUUAAUUUUUUUUUCAAUGCAUGGUUCCUUAAAAUUACAAUUGUAUAUUUUUGUAUUUUCUAUACCACUCUUCCUGUUUAGAUGGAUGAAAUCAAAUGUCCAUUGUGCAACAAAUGUUUCCCGUUGUUAGACACAGAAGGGCGUGCCAGCUUCUGCGGUGAAAGAUAUUAAGCAACCAGAUUUGUUUAUAUGGUGAUGUGUGGUAUUUUCAUUCAUGUUUUUAUGUGCUUUGUAAUAAACA